GGGGGUAGAGCUCAGUGGUAGAGCACAUGCUUAGCAUGCGCGAGGUCCUGGGUUCAAUCCCCAGGCCCUCCA
rnacentral:tRNA from 1 species